rnacentral:rRNA from 1 species
UACGUAGGAGGCAAGCGUUGUCCGGAAUCACUGGGCGUAAAGCGCGUGUAGGCGGAUCGCUGAGUCUGUGGUGAAAGCGCCUGGCUUAACCGGGCGAGGUCCAUGGAAACUAGCGGUCUGGAGGCCGGUAGAGGGGGGUGGAAUUCCGGGUGUAGUGGUGAAAUGCGUAGAGAUCCGGAGGAACACCAGUGGCGAAGGCGGCCCCCUGGGCCGCGCCUGACGCUGAGACGCGAAAGCGCGGGGAGCGAACGGG